rnacentral:rRNA from 1 species
AAUCAACGCUGGCGGCGUGCCUCAGACAUGCAAGUCGAACGCGAAAGGCCCCUUCGGGGGCCCGGUAGAGUGGCGCACGGGUGAGUAACACGUAGGUAAUUUGCCUUCGGGUGGGGAAUAACAGCCGGAAACGGCUGCUAAUACCGCAUAAUGCAGCGGCUCGACAUCGAGACAGUUGUUAAAGCGGGGGAUCGCAAGACCUCGCGCCUGAAGAGAAGCCUGCGGCAGAUAGCUUGUUGGUGAGGUAAUGGCUCACCAAGGCGACGAUCUGUAACCGGCCUGAGAGGGCGGUCGGUCACACUGACACUGACAUACGGGUCAGACUCCUACGGGAGGCAGCAGUCGGGAAUUUUGGGCAAUGGGCGAAAGCCUGACCCAGCAACGCCGCGUGAAGGAUGAAAUCUCUCGGGAUGUAAACUUCGCAAGAACGGGAGAAUAAGUUUGGGAUAAUACCCCGAAUGAUGACGGUACCGUUUGUAAGCUCCGGCUAACUCCGUGCCAGCACGCC